AGUGAACGCUGGCGGUAGGCCUAACACAUGCAAGUCGAACGGCAGCACAGUAAGAGCUUGCUCUUACGGGUGGCGAGUGGCGGACGGGUGAGGAAUACAUCGGAAUCUACUUUUUCGUGGGGGAUAACGUAGGGAAACUUACGCUAAUACCGCAUACGACCUACGGUUGAAAGCAGGGGAUCUUCGGACCUUGCGCGAUUGAAUGAGCCGAUGUCGGAUUAGCUAGUUGGCGGGGUAAAGGCCCACCAAGGCGCCGAUCCGUAGCUGGUCUGAGAGGAUGAUCAGCCACACUGGAACUGAGACACGGUCCAGACUCCUACGGGAGGCAGCAGUGGGGAAUAUUGGACAAUGGGCGCAAGCCUGAUCCAGCCAUACCGCGUGGGUGAAGAAGGCCUUCGGGUUGUAAAGCCCUUUUGUUGGGAAAGAAAAGCAGCAGGUUAAUACCCCGCUGUUCUGACGGUACCCAAAGAAUAAGCACCGGCUAACUUCGUG
rnacentral:rRNA from 1 species